rnacentral:tRNA from 1 species
CCCGGGGUAGCUCAAUGGUAGAGCAGUCGGCUGUAGACCGACGUGUUGGGAGUUCGAUUCUCCUCCCCGGGA